CCUACGGGAGGCUGCAGUGGGGAAUAUUGCACAAUGGGGGGAACCCUGAUGCAGCGACGCCGCGUGAGUGAAGAAGUAAUUCGUUAUGUAAAGCUCUAUCUGCCGGGAAGAAAAUGACGGUACCUGAGUAAGAAGCCCCGGCUAACUACGUGCCAGCCGCCGCGGUACUACGUCGGGGGCCAGCGUUAUCCGGAUUUACUGGGUGUAAAGGGGGCGUAGUCGGGAGUGCAAGUCUGGAGUGAAAGGCGGGGGCUCAACCCCCGGACUGCUCUGGAAACUGUACGGCUGGAGUGCAGGAGAGGUAAGCGGAAGUCGUGGUGUAGCGGUGAAAUGCGUAGAUAUUAGGAGGAACACCAGUGGCGAAGGCAGCUUACUGGACCGUAACUGACGUUGAGGCUCGAAAGCGUGGGGAUCAAACAGGAUUAGAUACCCUGGUAGUC
rnacentral:rRNA from 1 species